UCAGUAUGUGAUUCAUAUACUCCUUGCAGGGAUUGAAGAGGCAAAUUGUAAAGUGGAUUUUCCUAGAUCUACACAAUAAUUAUAAAUACAGGAUAAUAUUGCAGCCGAUAGUUUGCAGCUGAUGAUCGCCAAAUUGACCCCUCCAACCGCAGCAGAAUGACUGUCGUGGCUCUGGUGGUGGAUUCUGGUUCUGGUUCUGACUUGUGUGCGUUCUGGCUCUGACUGGUGUGCUGUGCGUUCUGGGUCUGACUGCAGGGUGUGCGUUCUGGAUCUGGCUGGGGGGGCUCUCCCUGGGAUGUGAGAGUGUAGGGGUCCUAUGGGCCGAAUCACUAUAAUAUGAACGAGCUCAGUGACGUACCUCCUGGGUAGCUUGGAAAGCGUCACACACUAUAUUCCACAGGUGUAAUGUUCUCUUUCGUAAAUCAGGGAUGAAGGCAUAAAAUAUUCAAUUGCAAGAACUAAAAACAUUGUUGUGUACUUGCCACUUAUACUUCAACUCAUCAUUUUUCGUAAGUGUUAUUUAGGCUAUGGAACUCCCUACCAUCUGCAAUCAUUUCAUGUGUGAUAGUCUGUUCACCUUUAAAAAAAAACACCAUGCAGACUAAUCUCACAAACAUGAUUUAUGUGUACAUGUUCAUGUUGUUCUGUCCUUUAUGUCACUUGUACUUUUUAACAUGUUUUUCUGUUCGUUUCUGUCUCAUGUUUUUCUUUUAAUUA